UUGACAGCCCUGGAGACUAAAGUCCUUUAUUUAUUUAUAGAGCAGUUACAGCAUGGGCAGCAGCAGUGCAAACUUCCCUACGUUGUCCCACCAAUGUGCCUCAACCCUGACCUGGAGAGACCAGCUUUAGGGGUAAGAGAGUAGCUGAGACACCAUACCCUUGGCCUCUCUGCUAAG
ensembl:misc_RNA